GAUGAACGCUGGCGGCACGCCUAACACAUGCAAGUCGAACGAGGUUAUUAUGAAUGAAGCCUUCGGGCGGAUUGAAUUUUAACCUAGUGGCGGACGGGUGAGUAACACGUGAGCAAUCUGCCUUUCAGAGCGGGAUACCGUUUGGAAACGAACGUUAAUACCGCAUAAUGCAGCGAAGCCGCAUGACUUUGCUGCCAAAGAUUUUAUCGCUGAAAGAUGAGCUCGCGUCUGAUUAGAUAGUUGGUGAGGUAACGGCCCACCAAGUCAACGAUCAGUAGCCGGACUGAGAGGUUGUACGGCCACAUUGGGACUGAGACACGGCCCAGACUCCUACGGGAGGCAGCAGUGGGGAAUAUUGCACAAUGGAGGAAACUCUGAUGCAGCGAUGCCGCGUGAGGGAAGAAGGUUUUCGGAUUGUAAACCUCUGUCUUUGGGGACGAUAAUGACGGUACCCAAGGAGGAAGCUCCGGCUAACUACGUG
rnacentral:rRNA from 1 species